rnacentral:tRNA from 1 species
AAUGAAAUGCCUGAUAAAAAGGGUUAUCUUGAUAGGAUAAAUUAUGUAAAAUCUUUACUUUCAUUA